rnacentral:rRNA from 1 species
AGUGGCGGACGGGUGAGUAACGCGUGAGAAUCUGCCCUUUGGAUGGGGAUAACGACUGGAAACGGUCGCUAAUACCCAAUAUGCCGAGAGGUGAAACUUAUAUGGCCAGAGGAUGAGCUCGCGUCUGAUUAGCUAGUUGGAGUGGUAACGGCACACCAAGGCGACGAUCAGUAGCUGGUCUGAGAGGAUGAUCAGCCACACUGGGACUGAGACACGGCCCAGACUCCUACGGGAGGCAGCAGUGGGGAAUUUUCCGCAAUGGGCGAAAGCCUGACGGAGCAAGACCGCGUGAGGGAGGAAGGCCUACUGGUUGUAAACCUCUUUUGAUAGGGAAGAAGAAAGUGACGGUACCUAUCGAAUCAGCAUCGGCUAACUCCGUGCCAGCAGCCGCGGUAAUACGGAGGAUGCAAGCGUUAUCCGGAAUUAUUGGGCGUAAAGCGUCCGUAGGUGGUUAUUCAAGUCAGCUGUCAAAGGAUGGAGCUUAACUCCAUAAAGGCAGUUGAAACUGUGUAGCUAGAGUGCGAUAGGGGCAAGGGGAAUUCCCAGUGUAGCGGUGAAAUGCGUAGAUAUUGGGAAGAACAUCGGUGGCGAAAGCGCCUUGCUGGGUCUGCACUGACACUGAGGGACGAAAGCUAGGGGAGCGAAAGGGAUUAGAUACCCCUGUAGUCUUAGCUGUAAACGAUGGAUACUAGGCGUUG